GUGUGGCUGGAGUUGGCCGCCGCUGCCGUGGAAGGCGCGUGUUUGGACUUUUGACGUCCCCUCACCCGCACCGCGGCUUCUGCCUAGCGGCCCACCGUCUGAUAGACAGCCCUCGGGCCCCUCGGCCGCCACGGACAUGCCGCGCGUCUACAUAGGGCGCCUUAGCUACCACGUCCGAGAGAAGGACAUUCAACGUUUUUUCAGUGGUUAUGGCCGCCUUCUCGAGAUAGACCUCAAAAAUGGGUACGGCUUCGUGGAGUUCGAGGACUCCCGCGACGCCGACGACGCCGUUUACGAGCUGAACGGCAAGGACCUCUGCGGCGAGCGCGUGAUCGUGGAGCACGCCCGGGGCCCGCGCCGCGAUCGCGACGGCUACAGCUACGGAAGCCGCAUGACCAAUGGGGCUGAGGCUGUGUCCACUGAGGCUAAGAUGACUGCCUUUCCUGAUUGGCCUUGGCUUUUCCAUACAUUGUGUGACCCUUGCCCUAUGACCCUUUGGCUGACCUUACCGGAAGCCAUGACGACAGCAGCCUUUUGCCAUUAGACGCAGGGUGAUGGUGAGGAUUCCAAGGGUUAGACAAAACUGGUUAAUCUGAACUAGGUGACUGUUACCUUGCGUGUUUUGUGGCCAAACCACCACCAAAAACCUCACACUGUGAUGUGGUGGAGGUGGAUACAGCAGUCGGAGAACUUCUGGCAGAGACAAAUAUGGACCACCUGUUCGUACAGAGUUCAGACUUAUUGUAGAAAAUCUUUCUAGUCGCUGCAGUUGGCAAGAUUUAAAGGAUUUCAUGAGACAAGCAGGUGAAGUAACCUAUGCGGAUGCUCACAAAGAACGCACAAACGAAGGUGUGAUUGAGUUUCGCUCCUACUCUGACAUGAAGCGUGCUUUGGAUAAACUAGAUGGUACAGAAAUAAAUGGCAGAAAUAUUAGGCUCAUUGAAGAUAAAGCACGAACAAGCCAUAGGCGGUCUUAUUCUGGAAGCAGAUCGAGGUCACGGUCUAGAAGGAGGUCACGAAGUAGGAGUCGCAGGAGCAGCCGCAGUAGAUCUCGAAGUGUCUCCAAAAGUCGCUCCCGAUCCAGGUCUCGAAGCAAAGGUCGAUCACGUUCUCGGUCAAAAGGCAGGAAAUCUAGAUCAAAAAGCAAAUCAAAGCCUAAGUCUGAUCGGGGCUCCCGUUCACGCUCUCGAAGCAGGUCUAAGGAUGAGUAUGAGAAAUCUCAAAGCAGGUCUCGUUCUCGAUCUCGUUCCCCCAAAGAAAAUGGAAAAGGUGAUAUAAAGUCAAAAUCUAGAUCGAGGAGCCAGUCUCGCUCCAAUUCUCCCCCACCUGCUCCACCCUCAAAGGCUCAUUCUGUGUCCCCUCCACCAAAAAGAGCUUCAAGAUCUCGUUCUAGAUCCCACUCAAAGUCAAGGUCACGGUCCAGAUCGAGUUCCAGAGAUUAGCCCAGAACUCUAUGUUCUUUGCACACUAUUAUGGAACACUUUUCCUACUUGCUUAGGCAGUUACUCUUCCAUGUUUGUACUUGGCCUCUUCUGCAAGAGGAAUCUCCUGAAAACAAGGGCACACAGAAAUUUGAUUUGUGGCCAAAUUUGAUGAAAAAGAUGGGGUUCUAAAGAAAUGGUGGCAUGAAGACCUCCUCCCUUCUUUGUAGAAUUAAGAUAACUUUGAUUUUAUAGCUUUUGAGCUAAAAUAACUUUUGUAAAGAUUAAGCUCAUUUAGAUUUUUUUUUUUUUUUUUUAAGUAUUUCAGCAGGAUCUGCUGCAGGGGUUUUGUUUUAUUUGUUUGCUGACUUUUAAAUUUAAACUGUUUCAAGCUUUGGAUACUUAAGGCUUUAGAGGGAGAACCCAUUUUUCAAUUAUGUUGGCUUUUAUAUAAAGCCUGAGUUAUGUAAGAUUUCAAUAAAAGUUUGCUACCAAGAUGAUUGCCUUAUUGAAUAGGUCGCUAUUAAUUCCUUUAAAUAUUGAUAUCUACUGUUUGUGGAAACAAUGUAAAUUCUACUUAAAUGUAAAACAAGGCAAGCCUCAGACCAGCAAUAAAUUAUUCAAUUUGGAUAACAUUAUUUUGUUCUGUUAAUCAAAUUUGCCAAAGUCAUUGUAUCUGCCCAUUUAACAAGUUAGGUUAUAAAUAAAAUAUUUUGUAGUCAAUCUGUUAUACAAUUUUGCCUAAAUUAAAUAAUGAAACCUAUUUUUUUUUAUUUUGAUGCUUUUUAAUUUAGAUGUUUCUAAGAAAUGGGUUGUUUUGUUUUGUUUUGCCCAAUAUAAAUUGCAGAAUUUCAGAGAAGAAACUGGUGCCUGUAAUUAUAGUUCGUUAUUUUGCAGAUUUGAAAGAACAAGUUAAUGAUUUGGGAAGAGGCAAGCCUCCACUGCUUUUCAGAAUUAGGUGUUUAAGGACACAUUAGUUUAAGACUUGGCUUUGACCAAAGUUCUCUUGUUUUUAGGGAAAGAACAAAAGCUUUUAGGAGAGGGUGGGGAAUGUUACAAGGUGAAAUUUGACUCUCAAAGUAUGCAGCAUCCUCGUGUUAAUCUUACAUCACAUGUUGUAAUAGGCAGGUUUGUCUACACUGUUAGCUGGCCUGUAGUGAAUAUAGGUAAAUUACUGCACUCGUAUAAUUUUUCUAGUAAUAGCAAAGACCAUCUUAACUGAAAAUCUAGUCUUACUCCAUACCUGUGGACCUCCAUCAUUAGAUAGCUAAACCACUAUAACAUUGGCCCACUUGAGAACACAGUUUCGUUCCUUGCCAACUUGUGAGUUGAAUCAGACAGUCUCUACAACAUGCUACAUAUUGAUCUGUGACUGGAUGGUGUAUUAAGCUGAUAGAGAGCAAAAGAAGUGAGCAACAUCUUGAUUCCCCUUUCUUUUACCUGACUGUUUAUUGACACCAUAGUGCCUUUAUGGCCAGUUUAAGUCCUGCCUGCUCCUGUGCUACCAUCUUUCGUCUUUGGUAUCUUUCUCCCACUUUGUUAACCGAUUUUUGCUUUAUCUCCUCAAUAAAAUACUUACUGAGGGAAAGGCUUGUUUUGAAUUUAUUGUGUAUUCCCACUUAGUGCCAAAUUCUUGGCAAGUGGUCUUUAGAAUUGGAGUUGCUAUUCCUGAUUUGAAUGAGAAAAGGGAUCUAGUUUUCCACUCCUCAAUG